CAAAGCUAACAGUCCUCUCCUUCAUGAAACUCACAUUGUGGUCUGAGCAUAGAGGGAGAAGAUAGGCAAACAAAUACAUGAAAAUAUAGAACGUCAUGUGGAGCAACGCUUGGCAGAGGGGAAUGCUGGAGCAUGCGGGUUUUAUACAACCAGUUGGCCCAGUGCUGGACAAGAGUCAGUGAAGAUGGCUACUCUAUGCAAACCCUUCUCAUAGGUCAGCUGCCAUCCACACUAUGGUUCCCUGCUAGAACUGAGAUACCAAAAGAACACUUGGAAAUCUAGGAGACACUGAGACACAAGAAGGAGAGAUGGUCUCCUUCAUGUUCAUUUAUCAAAGCCAAAUUACCAAAUUAGUUUAAUUUGGAGAUACACUUUUGGCUAAAAACUAGCACCAAAAAAAAAAAAAGUGACCCAAUUCAAAUAAAAAUCUUCUGUAAGAUUAAAGGCGAA